GGCCCCUUGGUCAAGUGGUUAAGACACCGCCCUUUCACGGCGGUAACAGGAGUUCAAAUCUCCUAGGGGUCACCA
rnacentral:tRNA from 1 species